UGGGGAAUAUUGCACAAUGGGCGCAAGCCUGAUGCAGCCAUGCCGCGUGUAUGAAGAAGGCCUUCGGGUUGUAAAGUACUUUCAGCGGGGAGGAAGGGAGUAAAGUUAAUACCUUUGCUCAUUGACGUUACCCGCAGAAGAAGCACCGUCUAACUCCGUGCCAGCAGCCGCGGUAAUACGGAGGGUGCAAGCGUUAAUCGGAAUUACUGGGCGUAAAGCGCACGCAGGCGGUUUGUUAAGUCAGAUGUGAAAUCCCCGGGCUCAACCUGGGAACUGCAUCUGAUACUGGCAAGCUUGAGUCUCGUAGAGGGGGGUAGAAUUCCAGGUGUAGCGGUGAAAUGCGUAGAGAUCUGGAGGAAUACCGGUGGCGAAGGCGGCCCCCUGGACGAAGACUGACGCUCAGGUGCGAAAGCGUGGGGAGCAAACAGG
rnacentral:rRNA from 1 species